AUAUAAUCGGCCAUCAGGUUAAUUCUUCCUCAACAAAGACCUCUGAAGAAAAGAGGAUUCGUUUCUACAGAAAUGGCUGCGUUUGUUUGCGUCAUUAGGUGAUUCUACAAAGAGCUGGGACAAUGUGGCUGUGUUAGUUGAUGAAACAAUUAUACCACAAGCGCUGUGUAGCCCAAUCCUACAGACCCCAACACGACAGAACAUAAAACAAAAGGCCCUUCUAAUAAGGAAGAAGAACGCUGCAAAC